AUAAAAAAUAAACAUGUUUAACACAAUACUUGCAACAAUCUAGUAAGCAAUCCCGAGAUCCAAAACAAUCAAACAUUUACCUAGUAAAUUCCGACCUAGCAAUUUUUCAAACGUGUUUAUUCUGUGAAUCUGCUGUAAGGUUUAGUUUAAUUUUUUUUUGUUACACAUACUUUUAAAAAUUGCAAACACCUUGCAAUGCACAGUUACAUUCACAUACUGAAUCUGUAAAUUAAGCUUUUUUUGUAAAAAAUGUCUUCCGUACUUCAGAACUUCUAGCGCCAAAACAAAUGGUCUGUAGUAUUAUUCUUAGCACGUUGAAUAAGCUACUUCAAACUCUUUUAGAGCACUGUGCUGUAGAGUACUGUACUGAAGUUUCAAAAUCGACCAAAUUUUCUUCGAUUUAUUUAAUUUUUCUAAUCAUCAUAAAAAUAAUCAUAAGAGUUCCUGAAACCUUGAAAUCUGUAGAAUUUUCCGAUAUGCUCAGCUCAAAAUUGGCAAAUGGUCAUAUCCUUUUGCAUCUGGGCACCUCAAAUCUGAUCCCACAUUAAAUAUUUCUUCAAACCAAAAUUCUCAGGUAUAUAGAGAUCUACAUUCCGUAUUAUAAAGGUAACAAACUAACGAAACGAUCUUCACCCAAAAUCGUCUAUUUUGUGACUAUAAAAUUCCUCCUUUUUCCGCAAGCAAUUUUGACAAUAGAUCCAUGAGCAGUGCUUAAAAAAUUUAUUUCAUCAUAUCUGAAUUCAAUCACGUACAGCUCAUUUUAGAAGCUGAACCUGAGAAUAUGGUAUAUGAAAAACUUGUGCGGCUAGACCAGUUCUGCAAAAAAGUCACGAAAAAAUCGCUAUUUUUUUUCGAAUAUUUAGAGUGAAUGUCACGGACUACCUUCGAAAAAUGCCAAUGAUAUUCACGGUUCAUUUUUUCACAUACAGUGGUUUUUCACAUACAGUGGUUUUUCGUGAUAAAGGUCAAAACAAAUUUUAUCGUGAAAUAAACGAAACCGUGAAUUUGGCGAAACGAGAAAUAAAUGUAAUUUUUUUAUUCAAAAUCGAUCAACUGCAAACUGCAGUUCACAUUUUCUAUCUGUUCUAGUGGAUUGGGCUAUGUUAUAUUGAUUUCGGAAUGCUUUAGAGUGUGAUAAAAACGAAAUGAAAAUCGUUAUAAAAUCGAAAUAAAAAGCGUGAAUUUGGGCGAGUAGUGAUUAAAACGACUAGUGAUAAAACCGAAACGCCACUGUACCAUAUUCUGAGGUUCAGCUUCUAAAAUGAGCUGUAGGUGGUUGAAUUUAGAUACGAUGAAAUGAAAUUUUCAGCACUGGCCAUGAGUAUUUUUUUUCCGCGCGGAAAAGUGACAACUCUAUUCGAAAUGCACCGGAAGUGUUACUGUUGUUAUACUUUUCCCUUUACUUCCCAUGUGCGAACUACUCAAGUAAUUUCGAAGCGGAAUCAUUACUUGUCUUAACUUUUUGUUCAGUAUACUUACAAAGUGGAAACUAUCUGUUAGAUAUGACUCGUUUAUAAAACCAAUUUGAUUUUUUAGAUAACCCAGCUUCGGAUUGAAUGUGUCCCCAAUCAAAAAAUAACAAUAACCAAUUAUUGAUAUUAUAGGUUUCUGGUGGUUUGUUUGAGUAAAUUACAUAUUCUGAAAAUUACAUUUAAAGUUCUGAAAAUCAAAUUGAAGAAGACACAUCAUACAUUUGAUUCUUUAUUAGCAAAGUUAUUCGAAGUUGAUCAUUUUAUAUGAAAAUCGAUUUACUCAACUACUUUUGAGUACAAUCGUUUGUGGGAGGUCUGGUAACCACACCCUUUACUACGUUUGAAUUUAUUAUCCCGUCAACCACUUGUGAGGAAACUACUCACGCGUUUAAUGAUAAACAAUAAGCAGAUAUCCAAGCAUAAGAAAGCUGAAAGUUUGAGCUUGAAAUUCAAUAUCGUAUUAAUAGUUUGGGGGUGUGAUUUAUUGGUCACUAACUUACUUUCUACUUUCCUAACUUACUUUGGCAAAAAGAGUGGAAUUUAUGGGAUCAAAGUAAAAAGUUUCCAUGUAGAAAUUAGCACGUUAAAUAUUUAUGAAAUGAUAACACUAAUCUAGUCUCUUCUUAGACAAACUAUUACUAACAUAAUCAACAUAACGUCUUUCAUACUUUCCCGUCCGUUCCUUAAGUUAUGCGUUUCCAAGUAAAUUCCAUAGUGUUACAAAAAAAAAAACAAAAGCAUGUUUUACCGUACUGUUUUAAAGUGAUAUUUAAAUUUUAAAAUGUUGGAAAGCAAAACAGGAAUAUUACCGAGCAUAGAUCUUUUACCUAAAAUUAUAUUACACAUUAGCGAUAACCGACAAACAAUCAGCACACAAUCAAAUGCAAUCAGACUGUUCUCAUGAAGUAGUUGGUAGAUAACGAUGUUUAUACAUAAUACUGAAUUUAUGAACGUUGUGGCCGUACAAAAACCAAACAUACACAUUUGUGAUGAAAUUCCAUGUUAAAUAAUUGUGAUUUUCGACGUUUAAGAUAGCAUAUUUGGAAAUAUUUGGUGAACACAA